rnacentral:rRNA from 1 species
GAUGAACGCUGGCUACAGGCUUAACACAUGCAAGUCGAGGGGAAACGACGGGGAAGCUUGCUUCCCCGGGCGUCGACCGGCGCACGGGUGAGUAACGCGUAUCCAACCUGCCUCUGACUGAGGGAUAACCCGUCGAAAGUCGGCCUAAUACCUCAUGGUAUCGUCUGCGGGCAUCCAACGACGAUUAAAGAUUUCAUCGGUCAGGGAUGGGGAUGCGUCUGAUUAGCUUGUUGGCGGGGUAACGGCCCACCAAGGCUACGAUCAGUAGGGGUUCUGAGGGGAGGGUCCCCCACAUUGGAACUGAGACACGGUCCAAACUCCUACGGGAGGCAGCAGUGAGGAAUAUUGGUCACUGGGCGAGAGCCUGAACCAGCCAAGUAGCGUGCAGGAAGACGGCCCUAUGGGUUGUAAACUGCUUUUAUGCGGGGAUAAAGUGAGGGACGUGUCCCUCAUUGCAGGUACCGCAUGAAUAAGGACCGGCUAAUUCCGUG